UACGGAGGGGGAAAGCGUUAUCCGGAUUCACUGGGUUUAAAGGGUGCGUAGGUGGGCAGGUAAGUCAGUGGUGAAAUCUCCGGGCUUAACUCGGAAACUGCCAUUGAUACUAUCUGUCUUGAAUACCGUGGAGGUCAGCGGAAUAUGUCAUGUAGCGGUGAAAUGCUUAGAUAUGACAUAGAACACCAAUUGCGAAGGCAGCUGGCUACACGAAUAUUGACACUGAUGCACGAAAGCGUGGGGAUCAAACAGG
rnacentral:rRNA from 1 species